GGAAACUAAAGGGUACGUCCAAGGUUAGCUGGCCAUUGCAAUAUAAUAACUUCUGAGACCAUCUAAUCGUGACAGAGAUGUUGGUUCCACCAUCCACCUGUGGUAUUGAAAGGGUAAAAAUGUGGGGCUUCAGAAAGCAUCCAUCUUCAAUUUUGGCUACCUUUUCUGUUUUGCUUUCAUCAUCCAAGGUAACUAUUUUAGUGCU
rnacentral:misc_RNA from 1 species